rnacentral:rRNA from 1 species
AGUGAACGCUGGCGGUAGGCCUAACACAUGCAAGUCGAACGGCAGCACAGUAAGAGCUUGCUCUUACGGGUGGCGAGUGGCGGACGAGUGAGGAAUACAUCGGAAUCUACUUUUUCGUGGGGGAUAACGUAGGGAAACUUACGCUAAUACCGCAUACGACCUACGGGUGAAAGCAGGGGAUCUUCGGACCUUGCGCGAUUGAACGAGCCGAUGUCGGAUUAGCUAGUUGGCGGGGUAAAGGCCCACCAAGGCGACGAUCCGUAGCUGGUCUGAGAGGAUGAUCAGCCACACUGGAACUGAGACACGGUCCAGACUCCUAUGGGAGGCAGCAGUGGGGAAUAUUGGACAAUGGGCGCAAGCCUGAUCCAGCCAUACCGCGUGGGUGAAGAAGGCCUUCGGGUUGUAAAGCCCUUUUGUUGGGAAAGAAAAGCAGCAGGUUAAUACCCCGCUGUUCUGACGGUACCCAAAGAAUAAGCACCGGCUAACUUCGUG